rnacentral:misc_RNA from 1 species
GUAGGUGAACCUGCGGAAGGAUCAUUACAAAAUUUCGAGUGCUGAGCAGCGGCUCGCCAGGUGCUAGCAAUGGCGCUGGGUGAGUUUGCUGCCGACACCACUUUACGCUUGUUGUGUUUGACAGAGUUAUUGUAGCUUUAAAAAUAGACAACUUUUAACAAUGGAUCUCUUGGCUCUU